UACGAAGGGGGCUAGCGUUGCUCGGAAUCACUGGGCGUAAAGGGUGCGUAGGCGGGUCUUUAAGUCAGGGGUGAAAUCCUGGAGCUCAACUCCAGAACUGCCUUUGAUACUGAGGAUCUUGAGUUCGGGAGAGGUGAGUGGAACUGCGAGUGUAGAGGUGAAAUUCGUAGAUAUUCGCAAGAACACCAGUGGCGAAGGCGGCACACUGGCCCGAUACUGACGCUGAGGCACGAAAGCGUGGGGAGCAAACAGG
rnacentral:rRNA from 1 species